UACGUAGGGUCCGAGCGUUGUCCGGAAUUAUUGGGCGUAAAGAGCGUGUAGGCGGCCAGAUAGGUCUGCUGUGAAAACUCGAGGCUCAACCUCGAGAUGUCGGCGGAAACCAUUUGGCUAGAGUCCGGAAGAGGAAAGUGGAAUUCCUGGUGUAGCGGUGAAAUGCGCAGAUAUCAGGAGGAACACCGGUGGCGAAGGCGGGUCUCUGGGCAGUAACUGACGCUGAGGAGCGAAAGCGUGGGGAGCGAACAGG
rnacentral:rRNA from 1 species